GAUGCAAAUACAGCAGAUCACUCAAGGGAUGCUGAAACAUUAUUUGGUAUUCAAACAACUCUGGAAAAGUAUGAACAUCCAAUUUUGAAAAUGAACUAUAAGAUACUGAUUAUAAAGAAUUUAUGCAAUAUGCAAAUACAGCAGAUCAUUCAAGGGAUGCUGAAACAUUAUUUGGUAUUCAAACAACUCUGGAAAAGUAUGAACAUCCAAUUUUGAAAAUGAACUAUAAGAUACUGAUUAUAAAGAAUUUAUGCAAUAUGCAAAUACAGCAGAUCAUUCAAGGGAUGCUGAAACAUUAUUUGGUAUUCAAACAACUCUGGAAAAGUAUGAACAUCCAAUUUUGAAAAUGAACUAUAAGAUACUGAUUAUAAAGAAUUUAUGCAAUGUACGUGUAAUGGU